rnacentral:lncRNA from 1 species
UCCUUGUUUCCUCGAUUCUUACUCAAAAUCCUAUCUUUCGUCUUCUGCUCCUUACCAGGUACAAUCUUCACAUCAACUCUGUGCUUCCUAUCAUCUAAAUCCCUAUCCUCGUUUCCUUGCUUCUUACUUAAAAUCCCAUCUUCCAUCCUACUCUUUCUGGCAUUGAGCUUUUGAACUCCUCAAUUCGUAUUUUGCCCUAACAAUGUCCUGACCAUUUUCAACUCCAUGAAUCUCCAACUCCCUAUCCUUGUUUCCUCGCUUCUUGCUCAAAAUCCCAUCUUUUAUCUUCUGCUUCUCAACAAUGGAGACACUCCUAUUCUCCCUCGCAUUAGCCUUCAGACCUUUUGAACUCUCCCCCAAUUUGUGUUUCUCCCUAACAUUAUCCUGAUCCUUUUCAGCUCCAUGAAUCUCCAACUCCCUAUCUUGCUCAUACUUGAUGAACAGAGGCAACCAUUAUGAUCAUUAACUUUAUAAACAUAUGAUGUUCCAUCUAAUGUAGUCUUAGUCAAGAAAUUCAUAUAAAGCGGGUCAGCUUCAAGAUCAGUAUAAGUACAACUAGGGUUAUGCCUAUAACCACCAUAGGCAAAUCUACCCUGCUCUAUAAAUAACAACAAGGUUUUAAAAUCUUCAUCCACAUGAACACAUCCUUCCAAUGCGCUACCAAACUCAUGAUACCUAUCCCUAUCUUGACAAGGACACAAUUCCUACUUACCAACUUUCUUCAUAUAAUCAAAAACUCAAAUUUCCACUAAACAACUAACUGAAACUAUUACUCGAGGUUUCCUAUGAUGUUUUUAGUUUGGGCACACCUCUUGAGGAAAUAACUCUCUCUUAGGAAUUAAGAAGUAAAAAUAUCUGAACCAAACGACCUAAUGUAAAUGUUACCUAAAUCUGAAAAUUCUGCAAUCGUAAGAAUCUGGAAGCAAACAGUUGCCAGAAUCUGUAAAUCCUAGACGGAAUGAAGUUGUAAUCACCACACAACACACCGAAAAAAGGUUGGAAUCACAUGGCACCAGAGUCAAUCUACUCAGAAUUGAGGGGUGACCCUGUUGGAAAAAGAAUCUCUUCGGCAAACUGAUCGAAAGAUGGCUCACACGCUGGCGCAUGAGACAAUAGCAGCUAUAAUCUAACGGCUUUGAAUGGCACAUGAGAGCAUGGGCUGGCCGUUGGUAGCGUAGCUGAUUGGGUUUUGCUCACGGUGGUGGUACAAGUCUCGUGGUGGUGUUCGUUUGAUCACAACACUUCCGAAAUUAAAGAUCUGUUUGGACAUCCAAGAAAAAUAGCUUGGGGGGGGGGGGGGGGGGGGGGGCGGGGUUGGAAUUAAGUGCAACCAGUGUCGAUCUACUCAAAAUUGAGGGGUGACCCUGCUGGAAAAAGAAUCUCACCGGCAAACUGAUCAAAAGAUUGCUCACGCGCUGGUGAGUGAGACAACAAUAGCUAGAAUCUGAAGGCCCUGAACGACACGUGGGAGCGCAUGGACUGGCCGCUGGUGGCGGAGCUGAUUGGAUUUUGCUCACGGUGGUGGUCUGAGUCUCGUGGCGGUGUUGGUUUCAUCACAACACCAUCGAAAUUAGAGAUAUGUUCGGACAACCACGAAAAAUAGUUGGGGAAAACCUGUCCAGAAUUUCUCUUCCAAUGUCGGAGGCCUUAACCAAGAUCCGACACCAUGUGAAACGGAAGAGAAAAUAAGAGAGAAAUAGGCUUUGUUAUUCCCUCAAGCUAUUUGGGUUUAUAUAGCUAAGUUUUAAUGUCUUAAAAAAGGGAGAAAAUCAAUACCUAAAUACAAUAUCAUUUUUGUCUUUUUCUGGUCAUAGAGUAGCAAGCAACUUUAGAGUUUCCAAAACAUGCUUUCAUAUCAAACAUCGUGAAAGUAUAUAUCUUUUUUUAUAGGAAUGAUGAGAGCACAUAUGUAAGGACAACCAGUUCAUGUAACACAACUUCAGGAGACCUUUUUCUUUUUUUCUACAUUUCUAGAGCACUCAUGAGAUUUCUGGUAUGAUGGAUAUUUAAGAUAGAUCAUUGAUUGCUCUUUUUAAAAGAAUGACAUUUUUGUUUACAAAGCUUCAUAAGGUAUGUACAACUCUUAUUUCCUUUCGCUUUGCUAUCACUUAAACCGAUUUCACAAUAUAGAGAUAUGAGAAAAAUUAUAAUUUGGAUUGGGUGUUUGGCUUGUAGGGGCAUUUUCCUCUUCCAUAACAUACAAUAACUCCAAAAGUGCACUAGAAAACUUAAUAAAGUCACUUAAAAGGCCAUUGAAAACAAGUAUAAUUCAAAAGCCCAAAAUGCCCCUACAAGCCAAACAUCCAAUCUAAAUUUAAUUCAUCUCCUAUCUCUAUACUGUGAAAUCACCCUGCAUCAAGAAGUAUGUAGCUUGGUUCUAGGCUGUCAAUUUAGUAAUGCUGAAUUGGUACCCAAGAUGUGGAUGUACCGUGUAAUAAGUAAUCGAUGCAAAUAAUGGGUUGCCUACACUGAAGCACAGCUAGGUGAGGAGAAUCACCCUCCAUGAGCUUUUAUGUGCUUUAGGCCUUUUAAGUGCACCUUAAAUGAGCCUUUGACAACAUUGAUUUGAAUGAGACACUGUUUUGAUUAUCGAUGAGUCGAUGACUUUCAGCAUAUUUGGCAAGUUUAACUCUUUUGUUUCUCGGUGAGGCUUUCAGGCUUCAAAAGCAGUUAUUCCUUCCUAGAAAUAUUUUCUUUGUUCCCUUUCUUGGAGUCACAACUUGUCCACUUGCCUUAAAUGACUUCUUCUUUUUGAUGAGGUCACUUGCCUUACAUGACUAUUUUUUCCACUGACACUUCACUGUGAGUAAACAUUAUAUUGUAUCAAAAGUUACAUUGGUCAUGCCUUGUUCAUACAAAAUGUUGAGUCAAUUGAAAAGGGAAACAAUGAUCGAUGGGAACUUUUAAGAAGAAAGAUCUGAAUUUUCCCUUUUUAAUUGACUAAAAACACUCCACUCUUCCACACCUAGUGGAAAUAAAACAAUAAAAGUGUAGAUAAAACAAAAGGAGAACAUGCUCUACUACGAGCUACAUGAAAGUGAGAAAAAAAAAAGUCAAAACUUUUUAUCAAUCAGUUCAGUAAAGAUUUGCUAGCAACUUCAGUUCAUUUUUUGGCGAAAGAACAAGACAAGGAACUAUUAUUAAGUUAUCUAAAUGAUGAGCAGGAAUCCUAUGGAAUUGGAUACCAUCUUAAAAGUGACAACAUAAAUUUGAAAUCAAGGUAUGGCCUGAGAACAAUUCAAAACACAAGAAAAGCAUUCAAAAUGCAAAGAGAUGCCACGAUGCUGGAAAACAAACCAUAGGCUAUUAACCUACCUUUAUGGAGUGAUAGAAGGGAUUUCCCACAUCCAUUUGUAUAGCUAGAUGGUAAUCGCAUCUUAAUGUCUUUCCAGAGCUUCUUAUACUCCUCUUCAUUGUAGGGCGUCAUCAAUAAGUUCAAAACCUCCUUCCUGUACCUAGAAUCUAUGAUUGUCGCAUCCAGCUUGAUACACAAAAUUAGCAGCCAAUGGUUACAAGAAUUAUCAUGGUGAACCAAAACUAAGAGGUAACAUAAAAUAAAGGAGGGACCAAAAGAACUAGUGAAAGUAGCAGAAGAAUUGAAAUCAUACAUUCAGGCAAUGUUCCACUGAGGGUACAAAGGGGUUAGAGCUACUGCCCCUGCGUACCUCUGCACCUACAUUCUCAAGGAUUUCUACCUCACUUUGGGAUAUUGCCUCCUUAAGAGCUUCAUAAAAAAACAACUAUUACCAAAUGAAGAUUUGAGACAAUGAUAUCUUCACACAAUUUUUUUUGCAAGAAUCAAAUAACUUACAAUCAGAAUCUUCUUGAGGUUCAAUUUUUACUUCCACAUCCAUGAAUUUGCUAUCAUUCUGAAUCUUCUGCUCCUUACCAGGUAUAAUGUUCGCAUCAAUUAUGUGCUUCCAGUUAUCUAAAUCCCUAUCCUCGUUUCGUCGCUUCUUACUCAAAAUCCCUUCAUUCAUCUUCUGCUUCUUACCAUGUACAAUCAUCACAUCAAUUCUAUGAUUCCUGUUAUCUAAAUCCCUAUCCUCGUUUCCUUGCCUCUUACUCAAAAUGCCAUCUUUCAUCUGCUGCUCCUUACCAGGUCCAAUGUUCACAUCAAUUCGCUGCUUCCUGUUAUCUAAAUCCAUAUCCUCAUUCUGUCGCUUCUUACUCAAAAUCCCACCAUUCAUCUUCUGCUCCUUACCAGGUACAAUUUCCACAUCAAUUCUUUGCUUCCUAUUGUCUAAAUCCCUAUCCUCAUUUCCUCGCUUCUUACUUAAAAUCCCAUUUUCCAUCCUAUUCUUUCUCGCAUUAGUCUUUAGAGCUUUUGAACUCCUCCCCAAUUCGCAUUUUUCCCUAACAUUAUCCUGACCCUUUUCAACCCCAUGAAUCUCCAACUCCCUAUCUCUCUCAUACUUGAUGAACACUGUCAACCCAUUCUGAUCAUUAACUUUAGAAACAUAUGAUGUUCCAUCUAGCUUAGUGUUAGCCAAGAAAUUCAUAUAAAGCGGGUCAGCUUCAACAUCAAAAUAAGCAAGUCUAGGGUUAUCCCUAUCACCACCAUAGGCAACUCCACCCUUCUCUAUAAAUGACAACAAGCUUUUAUAAUCUUCAUCCACAUGAACACAUCUUUCCAAUGCACUACAAAGGUCAUGAUAUAUGUCUUUGUCUUGACAAGGACACAAUUUCUCCAUACCAACUUUCCCCAUAUAAUCACAAACUCAAAUUUCCACUAAACAACUAACCCAAACUACUACCCCCUACAGUCUCUAG